rnacentral:rRNA from 1 species
UACGUAGGGUGCGAGCGUUAAUCGGAAUUACUGGGCGUAAAGAGCGCGCAGGCGGUCGUUCAAGUCGCGUGUGAAAGCCCCCCGGCUCAACUGGGGAGGGUCACGCGAUACUGAUCGACUCGAAGGCAGGAGAGGGUAGUGGAAUUCCCGGUGUAGUGGUGAAAUGCGUAGAUAUCGGGAGGAACACCAGUGGCGAAGGCGACUACCUGGCCUGUUCUUGACGCUGAGGCGCGAAAGCUAGGGGAGCAAACGGG